rnacentral:tRNA from 1 species
AGCUCAAUUGGUUAGAGCCGACCGCUCAUAACGGUCUGGUUGCAGGUUCGAGUCCUGCC